AAUGAACGCUGGCGGCGUGCUUAACACAUGCAAGUCGAGCGAGAAAGUCCCUUCGGGGCGAGUACAGCGGCGGACGGGUGAGUAACACGUGAGAACCUGCCCUUUAGUGAAGAAUACUCUCGAGAAAUCGAGCUUAAUACUGCAUAAGUCCCUUCGGGGAGAAAGGCGUCUUUUAUGUCGCCGCUAAUGGAUGGGCUUGCGGGCUAUCAGCUUGUUGGUGAGGUAACGGCUCACCAAGGCGACGAUGCGUAGCCGACCUGAGAGGGUGAUCGGCCACACUGGGACUGAGACACGGCCCAGACUCCUACGGGAGGCAGCAGUAGGGAAUCUUCCACAAUGGACGAAAGUCUGAUGGAGCAACGCCGCGUGAGCGAUGAAGGCCUUCGGGUCGUAAAGCUCUGUUGUUAGGGAAGAACAAGUACCGGAGUAACUGCCGGUACCUUGACGGUACCUAACCAGAAAGCCACGGCUAACUACGUGCCAGCAGCCGCGGUAAGAC
rnacentral:rRNA from 1 species